GAUGAACGCUGGCGGCGUGCCUAAUACAUGCAAGUCGAGCGAACAGACGAGGAGCUUGCUCCUCUGACGUUAGCGGCGGACGGGUGAGUAACACGUGGAUAACCUACCUAUAAGACUGGGAUAACUUCGGGAAACCGGAGCUAAUACCGGAUAUUAUAUUGAACCGCAUGGUUCAAUAGUGAAAGACGGUUUUGCUGUCACUUAUAGAUGGAUCCGCGCCGCAUUAGCUAGUUGGUAAGGUAACGGCUUACCAAGGCAACGAUGCGUAGCCGACCUGAGAGGGUGAUCGGCCACACUGGAACUGAGACACGGUCCAGACUCCUACGGGAGGCAGCAGUAGGGAAUCUUCCGCAAUGGGCGAAAGCCUGACGGAGCAACGCCGCGUGAGUGAUGAAGGUCUUCGGAUCGUAAAACUCUGUUAUUAGGGAAGAACAAAUGUGUAAGUAACUAUGCACGUCUUGACGGUACCUAAUCAGAAAGCCACGGCUAACUACGUG
rnacentral:rRNA from 1 species